GCGAUGCAUGAGCUCCAGCCAUGCUGAAUGACAUCUGGACGUGGUGCUGGCUUCUGGCAUGCAGAGGAGUCAUGCAUGGUGACAUUUGGACGCCCGUGUGUCGCCGCGCAUGCGACCGGAAGCAUGUGGGACGACACACAGGCGAUGGAGUGGCACCAUUUCAAUGGUUGGCCAUAUCUAUAUAAACCCAGCUCCCCCAGCUCGUUUCAUUCAUUCCACACACUCAAACAUCACUCUAAAACUUGGGCUAGAGAGAGAAAGUGAAGUAGAAAAAGGAAGUGAAGGAUUUGGAGCUGUUUGAAGAAGUUAGAGCAUUUUUAAGAGCCAUUGUUCUACCGAA
rnacentral:lncRNA from 1 species